AGCAUUAGCUUCUGUGGAUUAAAAUGGAAUUUUUCACUUCUGUAAUAUAGAGAUAUUUUCUCUUGUGACUCUGACCUCAGAUCUUUCCUUUAUUGUUCCAAGCCACAGCCAUAGAUUUAGUCCUAAGGAGGCCUCCCUUUCCUGGCAUUAGUAGCUAUGGGAUAGAUGACAGCGUGCUGUGACUUUUUAAUGCCAACAGCCACUAUCUUCUCUGUGCUAUUGUACAUUUUUCUUUUAAGAAGUAGUGCAGCUCUGAAGACUCCUGGAGAUCUUGGCAAGCUUUUCCAUCAACUGCAUCAACCAACAAGCGUUGCUACGUCAAGGAAGAAAGGUAUGCAGAUACAGAGGCGGGGAACAGACAACAAGAACAACAAUGAUGACAUCAGUGACAACAAAAACAGGAUGACAUUAUCUUUCAGGCAUUGCAGACCCAUCUGAGAUGGGUUUCUGCCGGGAGCCGCCCACCAGUCAGCUAAGCCUCUGCCCAAGGGCAAGGUCCGGAAGAGAGAUGAGGGAACGCACGGCGGACCCUCAGAAGAUGGCGGUCGGCCGCUCCUGAUCCUACUUAUGCUACUAAUCUUAGCAAUAUUGCUCUUGCUGUUCUUUUUCUGUACAUGGGAUAUCUUGGGGAAAAUCUCUCCAUGCAGGGGAAAGAAGCUGGUGUAACCUGGCCUUCUAGGGGGGGUUCAGGGGAACAACAGCCUGAAGGGAAAAAACCUUCGGACCCCCUCCUGGAAAGGCGGUAAGGGAGCUUGGACAGCCCUCAAGGAGGAAGCCUUCUAAUAAUCAGCCUCUAAGGAGAGCAUUCCCUCCUCAGGUCCUUCUAGGAGGUAGAUGUUAUCCUAGGCCUGGUAGGACAGAAGGUAAAUGGUGGCACCCACCCAGGGGCAGAGGCAUACAAAAACUACCCCUUCCUAAGGCAACUCACGAUCCUGAUAAAGUUGCAGAAAAAUAUCAUAGUAUAGUAACACAGGGAAAUUGGGAUUAUGGUGAGGUCUGGGAACCCUACAAUACAGUUAAUGGUAAAAGAGAAACCCCAAGCACUGUGCCCGUGUGGCUUGCGAUCAGACGGAGCUGGGGGCCUGUAUGUAUUUUGGUCCCCUUACACUUUGCAAUACUUCUGCUUUCAUUAUUAUCGGAAUAAAGAUAGAGGCUUAGGGCCAUUCGACUCAUGGGGAACUAAGUCUAGACAUUACACCCCGUUUUGUAAUCAGUCUUAAACAUCUAGACGCCUAGUAGAUAUACAGAAAAGGUCAAUAUCUGUAAUUAACAAAGGUUGCUUGCUUCUCACAUACUGUGCUAAUGUUGUAACAAGAUAUGCUUAUGUACCCAUUUUGUUUGCCAAAAUUAUGUACUGAGACAAUUCCAUGAAAUCAUAAGCGCGUGACCUGGACCCUAUAUAAGUGCUUGAAUGCUUUGAAUAAAUCAGACUUGGAAACCUCA